AACCCAGUGGUGAAGUGCAUCACGUCCACUUCUAAUGCAUGAAGCCCCUCUGAAGUGCAAGUGGAAGUUACCCGUUCAACUCGGGUCUGGGUCC